UCAAGUGACUAAGUGCAUGCGGCGGAUGCCUUGGCGAUCACAGGCGAAGAAAGACGCGGCAGCCUGCGAAAAGCUGCGGGGAGCUGGCAAACGAGCUUUGAUCCGCAGAUAUCUGAAUGGGGGAACCCACACCGCAAGGUGUAUCCGUAGCUCAAUACAUAGGUUACGGAGGCGAACGAGGAGAACUGAAACAUCUAAGUAUCCUCAGGAAAAGAAAUCAACCGAGAUUCCGGCAGUAGCGGCGAGCGAACCCGGAGGAGCCCAGCUUUUGAUAGUACGAACUUUAGCCGAAAGGUCCUGGAAAGGCCUGCUAUAGUGGGUGAUAGCCCCGUAGGCGAAAGAGUUGGUACGGUACUAAGGAAGCGAGAAGUAGAGCGGGACACGUGGAAUCCUGUUCGAAGACGGGGGGACCAUCCUCCAAGGCUAAAUACUCGUGAUCGACCGAUAGUGAACCAGUACCGUGAGGGAAAGGCGAAAAGAACCCCGGGAGGGGAGUGAAAUAGAACCUGAAACCGCAUGCAUACAAACAGUAGGAGCCUCAUCAGAGGUGACUGCGUACCUUUUGCAUAAUGGGUCAGCGACUUACAUUCUGUGGCGAGCUUAACCGAAUAGGGGAGGCGCAGCGAAAGCGAGUUCGAAAUGAGCGUCCAGUCGCAGGGUGUAGACCCGAAACCAGAUGAGCUAUCCAUGGCCAGGUUGAAGGUGUGGUAACACACACUGGAGGACCGAACCGACUAGUGUUGCAAAAUUAGCGGAUGAGCUGUGGAUAGGGGUGAAAGGCCAAACAAAUCUGGAGAUAGCUGGUUCUCCCCGAAAACUAUUGAGGUAGUGCCUCGUGUGUCGCUCCAGGGGGUAGAGCACUGUUUUGGCUAGGGGGACAUGGAGUCUUACCAAACCAAGGCAAACUCCGAAUACCUGGAAGCGUGAGCACGGGAGACAGAGCACCGGGUGCUAACGUCCGGACUCAAAAGGGAAACAACCCAGACCGCCGGCUAAGGUCCCAAAUAACAGCUAAGUGGAAAACGAAGUGGAAAGGCCGUGACAACCAGGAAGUUGGCUUAGAAGCAGCCAUCCUUCAAAGAAAGCGUAAUAGCUCACUGGUCGAGUCCUUCUGCGCGGAAGAUGUAACGGGGCUAAGCUGUUAACCGAAGCCGCGGAUGCACUGGUUAUCCAGUGCGUGGUAGGGGAGCGUUCUGUAAGUCUGCGAAGGCGGUUCGAGAGGACUGCUGGAGAUAUCAGAAGUGCGAAUGCUGACAUGAGUAACGUUAAAGCAGGUGAAAAGCCUGCUCGCCGUAAGCCCAAGGAUUCCUGCUCUACGUUCAUCGGAGCAGGGUGAGUCGGCUCCUAAGGUCAGGCCGAAAGGCGUAGCCGAUGGGAAUCAGGUUAAUAUUCCUGAACCUGCGUCAGAUGCGAUGGGGGGACGGAGCAUGGAAGAUCAUCCGGGUGUUGGAAGUCCCGGUUGUUGAGCGUAGGAGGUCUGCAGGCAAAUCCGCAGACGCAUCUCCAAGGCAAAGACACGUGCCGCCACGGCGGCGAAGUGAUCGGAAGUGCUUCCAAGAAAAGCCUCUAAGCCCCAGUCUGACGCGGACCGUACCGCAAACCGACACUGGUGGGCGAGCUGAAUAUGCUCAGGCGCUUGAGAGAACUCGGGAGAAGGAACUCGGCAAAUUGACACCGUAACUUCGGAAGAAGGUGUGCCGUAGUACCGUGAGAGGAGAGACACCUUGAGCGGGAAACGGUCUCAGAGAAUAGGUGGCUGCGACUGUUUAUUAAAAACACAGCACUCUGCAAAGUCGAAAGACGACGUAUAGGGUGUGAUGCCUGCCCGGUGCUGGAAGAUUAAUUGAUGGGGUGAGAGCCCUUGAUCGAAGUCCCAGUAAACGGCGGCCGUAACUAUAACGGUCCUAAGGUAGCGAAAUUCCUUGUC
rnacentral:rRNA from 1 species